rnacentral:rRNA from 1 species
AUCCUACGGGGCGCAGCAGUGGGGAAUAUUGGGCAAUGGGCGCAAGCCUGACCCAGCAACGCCGCGUGAAGGAAGAAGGCUUUCGGGUUGUAAACUUCUUUUGACAGGGAAGAGUAGAAGACGGUACCUGUCGAAUAAGCCACGGCUAACUACGUGCCAGCAGCCGCGGUAAUACGGAGGAUGCGAGCGUUAUCCGGAUUUUUUGGGUUUAAAGGGUGCGUAGGCGGAAUGCCAAGUCAGCGGUAAAAUCGCGGGGCUCAACCUCGCUCCGCCGUUGAAACUGGCGUUCUUGAGUGGGCGAGAAG